rnacentral:rRNA from 1 species
UACGUAGGGGGCGAGCGUUGUCCGGAAUCAUUGGGCGUAAAGCGCGUGUAGGCGGCCCGGUAAGUCCGCUGUGAAAGUCCAGGGCUCAACCGAGAAAGUGCGCCCGAAACUGCAUGGCUUGAGUACCGGAGAGGAUGGCGGAAUUCCCCAAGUAGAGGUGAAAUUCGUAGAUAUGGGGGAGGAACACCGGUGGCGAAGGCGGCCAUCUGGACGGAUACUGACGCUGAGACGCGAAAGCGUGGGGAGCAAACAGG